GACGAACGCUGGCGGCGUGCCUAACACAUGCAAGUCGAACGGAGAUGAUGGGAUAGCUUGCUAUUUAAUCAUCUUAGUGGCGGACGGGUGAGUAACACGUGGGCAACCUGCCCCAAAGAGGGGGAUAACACCGAGAAAUCGGUGCUAAUACCGCAUAACAUUAGAGUUUCGCAUGGAGCUUUAAUCAAAGGAGAAAUCCGCUUUGGGAUGGGCCCGCGUCUGAUUAGCUAGUUGGUGAGGUAACGGCUCACCAAGGCGACGAUCAGUAGCCGAUCUGAGAGGAUGACCGGCCACACUGGAACUGAGACACGGUCCAGACUCCUACGGGAGGCAGCAGUGGGGAAUAAUUGCACAAAUGGGGGAAACCCUAGAUGCAGCAACGCCGCGUGGAGGAAGAAAGGUCUUCGGAUUGUAAACUCCUGUCUUCUGGGACGAAUAAAUGACGGUACCAGAGGAGGAAGCCACGGCUAACUACGUGCCAGCAGCCGCGUAAAGUCACG
rnacentral:rRNA from 1 species